CUUACUAUGGAGUUACAGGCAUUGUGGAACUUUACACCAUGUUACAGGAUGGUUUUAGACUCGAGAAACCACCGCACUGCUCUAAAAUAUUGUAUGACAUUAUGCUUCAGUGCUGGCAACGGACUCCGGAGGAUCGUCCAACUUUUAAAUAUCUUUAUUCAAACCUCCAUACAAUCUUGAGCGAGUCCGCGGUAUGAAUAUGUUGAAAGAUCAUAUAACCUUAGGUAUUCACGCUACACUCCUAUUCACAUAUUCUUGGACACUUGCGGCCUCCCCCUGCCCCUUUCAACGUUGGUCUGCACGAUGGCAUGGAUACAUUUGCAAUUAACAACAUUGGAAGUGGAUGAGGGACAACAGAACAUCAAAGAGGUCAGUUAUAUCAAUAUUACACACUUUGAAGAAAAGAUAAAUGAAAUGGAUGAAGCGGGGACCUUGACUGUAUUAUCUGACAAAGACUUUGGAGACGCAGUUACACCAAAGUUAGCUCGGUAGACCGCUGAUAGAACGGCUUGAGAGCCUUGA